rnacentral:rRNA from 1 species
ACUCAAAUGAAUUGACGGGGGCCCGCACAAGCGGUGGAGCAUGUGGUUCAAUUCGACGCGACGCGAAGAACCUUACCCAGGCUUGACAUGCACUGGACGGGUGUGGAAACACACCUUUCCUUCGGGACCGGUGCACAGGUGCUGCAUGGCUGUCGUCAGCUCGUGUCGUGAGAUGUUGGGUUAAGUCCCGCAACGAGCGCAACCCUUGUCCUUAGUUGCUAACGGGUAAUGCUGAGCACUCUAGGGAGACUGCCGGUGAUAAACCGGAGGAAGGUGGGGAUGACGUCAAGUCCUCAUGGCCCUUAUGCCUGGGGCUACACACGUGCUACAAUGGUCGGUACAAAGGGUUCCGAGACCGCGAGGUGGAGGCAAUCCCAAAAAACCGGCCUCAGUUCGGAUUGCAGUCUGCAACUCGACUGCAUGAAGUCGGAAUCGCUAGUAAUCGCUGAUCAGCAGGCAGCGGUGAAUACGUUCCCGGGCCUUGCACACACCGCCCGU